CUAACAUUGAGAUAUAUAGUGGGUUUUUUUUGUACCCCAUAACAGAUCCCAGGAAAACUCUCUUAUUAGUGAAAACUCACUGUUAGUUUCUUACUCAUCGUUUUAACUCUACUCAAAAUCAUUUUUAAGCCAAGGCAGCUACACUAAGAGAACUUUAUAAAUGGAGUCCUGUAAGAGGUUUUAACAGAACCUUUUGACUCGUUCCUUCUCUUUUAAACUCAACUCAAAUCCUAAUUUCGAGUCAUCCCAGCAGUUAUAUGAAACCCAAGAGAACUGACCAGGAUGCGACUUAACCAGCUCAGUCCCUUUCAGCAAGGACUCACUCACAGAGAACAGGAUGAGUUUGAGAAUGAGCUUUCAACUCUGGGUAAUCGGACAGGUUCGUUUUUUGGAGAUCCGAGCACACCGACGAAGGUGAAAAACGAAUCGCAGCCACGAAAAACCCGCCAUUGACUUUGACCGUCGUUCGCCAGUCGUCAGUUUCAACUGGAGCGGCGGGCAGUGAGCUGAAUUCGGCUAAAACGACGCAUCGGCAGAACAUUUCGCAGGAAACCGAACCAGAGCAGCCAGCAAAAGCAAAAAAAGCGAAAGCCAAGAACCAAGUACGAAUUGGCCAAAUAGCCUGUGCUAAUUUUUGUGCGAUAGCAUACUUUUUGGCGCGCUCCUCCUUUAAUCCUGCCGUCUAAGUGAAUGUGAAAUGUGACAAGCCAAGUGACAGUUAGCAAAAGGCAAACACAACGACAACACAACAAAAAAGGAGAAAUGAGAAAGAAGAAAGUGGAAAGCGGCCAAACAGAUGGAAACAACUUGCAGAUGCUGUGAUGUUCGAGGCCCCAGGAGACAUUUAACAUAAUAAAAACGAACGUGUGCGGCAUUUUUGUGUCUUGCCUCUUGGCCAAGUUAACUCCUAACAGUGUGUCAUGUGUGUGUGUGGGUUUAUUUAAUGCUAAUAUCACAAACACUCGCCCCCGCACACUCACACUCGCACACAGCGCAACGUACAAACAAACAAUAUUGCAAAUGUGGGCGCCAGGCAGUUGGCAAAAGUGUCGUAAAUCGUUUAGACAGCGCAACGUGGCCCAGAAAAAGGAGAUGAGGGCCAAAAGCGAUAUGUAAACGACACAGUCGCCGUGGGAAAAACUCCGAAAAUACGCAAAAAAAAAAGGGGCCAAGGAAAUGGAGGAUCUGCCGAUGAACUGCAUUUGUUGCUCCUAUGUGAUUAGGCUAAAAACUCGUGAUGAAGUUGACUUGAAUAAUGGUGACUGAACUGGACUGAUAAUUCUUAUUAAUGAAUACAUAAGCUUUUACAAAGAACUUUCCCCAAAACGACGAUGACAUGUGGCCAUCAAUACUGUGAUAAAUAUAAAUAUUGUCGUAAAUAAAGCAAUUUUGUAGAAGAAAGAAAAUAAAAAAUAUGCAGUCUAUAAAAAGUAA